rnacentral:lncRNA from 1 species
UUCAAUUGAUUCAAGAGACAAAAAGGCUCUCUUAGUUCAUUAGUAGUAGUAUAGUCUAGUGUGGGAGUUAGAGUUGAGUCGAGUGAAGCUCGGGGUCUUUGGAGUCAUCUUCUAGAGAGUCUGAUAUAGCUCUUGUAUCUUUCUCUUGUAAGACUUUUCUUAUUUAAUAUGUUAUUCUUCUUCUACUUGUCUAAGUAUUUACUUUGUGCAAUAUUAUUCCUGCAAUAGUAUUGUAGUGGUCUAUCUUGUCUUAUAGUAGAUACACACUAGAUUGCGAUCCUAUAAACAACUCUUUAGUUGUUUUCCAUUGCCUAUAACAAGGUGCUCUAGUUCAAUCGUACAUUCGGUUAAAGUAGUGGGAAUUAGUGUAAGCGUGUGGUGCUUAGGCUAAAGCUCACCAUUGGUGGCCGCUGGUUUGGACAGACAGUAGGAGUGCACUAGCAGGACGUAGCAGGUCGUGCUCGGCAUU